rnacentral:rRNA from 1 species
AUUGAACGCUGGCGGCAUGCCUUACACAUGCAAGUCGAACGGCAGCGGACCUUCGGGUGCCGGCGAGUGGCGAACGGGUGAGUAAUAUAUCGGAACGUACCUUUCAGUGGGGGAUAACGUAGCGAAAGUUACGCUAAUACCGCAUAUUCUGUGAGCAGGAAAGCAGGGGAUCGCAAGACCUUGCGCUGAUUGAGCGGCCGAUAUCAGAUUAGCUAGUUGGUGAGGUAAAGGCUCACCAAGGCGACGAUCUGUAGCGGGUCUGAGAGGAUGAUCCGCCACACUGGGACUGAGACACGGCCCAGACUCCUACGGGAGGCAGCAGUGGGGAAUUUUGGACAAUGGGCGCAAGCCUGAUCCAGCCAUGCCGCGUGCGGGACGAAGGCCUCGGGUUGUAAACCGCUUUCUAGCCGGAAGAAAUACGCCGUUUUAAUUACUAGACGGUGGAUGACGGUACCGGAAGAAGAAGAC